GACGAACGCUGGCGACGUGCUUAACACAUGCAAGUCGAACGCUGAAGCUCAGCUUGCUGGGUGGAUGAGUGGCGAACGGGUGAGUAACACGUGAGUAACCUGCCCUCUUCUUUGGGAUAACGCCCGGAAACGGGUGCUAAUACUGGAUAUUCACUGAUUCUCGCAUGGGGGUUGGUGGAAAGGUUUUUUCUGGUGGGGGAUGGGCUCGCGGCCUAUCAGCUUGUUGGUGGGGUGAUGGCCUACCAAGGCUUUGACGGGUAGCCGGCCUGAGAGGGUGACCGGUCACAUUGGGACUGAGAUACGGCCCAGACUCCUACGGGAGGCAGCAGUGGGGAAGAUUGCACAAUGGGCGAAAGCCUGAUGCAGCGACGCCGCGUGAGGGAUGGAGGCCUUCGGGUUGUAAACCUCUUUCGCUCAUGGUCAAGCCGCAGCUUUGGGUUGUGGUGAGGGUAGUGGGUAAAGAAGCGCCGGCUAACUACGUG
rnacentral:rRNA from 1 species